UACGUAGGGUGCGAGCGUUAAUCGGAAUUACUGGGCGUAAAGCGUGCGCAGGCGGUUUUGUAAGCCAGAUGUGAAAGCCCCGGGCUUAACCUGGGAAUGGCAUUUGGGACUGCAAGGCUUGAGUGCGGCAGAGGAGACUGGAAUUCCUGGUGUAGCAGUGAAAUGCGUAGAGAUGUGGAGGAACACCGAUGGCGAAGGCAGCCUCCUGGGCCAGCACUGACGCUCAUGCACGAAAGCGUGGGGAGCAAACAGG
rnacentral:rRNA from 1 species